rnacentral:rRNA from 1 species
GACGAACGCUGGCGGCGUGCUUAACACAUGCAAGUCGAACGGUAAGGCCCUUCGGGGUACACGAGUGGCGAACGGGUGAGUAACACGUGGGUGAUCUGCCCUGCACUUCGGGAUAAGCCUGGGAAACUGGGUCUAAUACCGGAUAGGACCACUGCCUGCAUGGGUGGUGGUGGAAAGCUUUUGCGGUGUGGGAUGGGCCCGCGGCCUAUCAGCUUGUUGGUGGGGUGAUGGCCUACCAAGGCGACGACGGGUAGCCGGCCUAAGAGGGUGACCGGCCACACUGGGACUGAGAUACGGCCCAGACUCCUACGGGAGGCAGCAGUGGGGAAUUUUGCACAAUGGGCGCAAGCCUGAUGCAGCGACGCCGCGUGAGGGAUGACGGCCUUCGGGUUGUAAACCUCUUUCAGCACCGACGAAGCGCAAGUGACGGUAGGUGCAGAAGAAGGACCGGCCAACUACGUGCCAGCCGCCGCAGUAA